rnacentral:rRNA from 1 species
UACAGAGGGUGCGAGCGUUAAUCGGAAUUACUGGGCGUAAAGCGCACGUAGUCGGCUUUGCAAGUCGGGUGUGAAAUCCCCAAGCUUAACUUGGGAACUGCGUCGGAUACUGGAUGGCUUGAAUUCGGGAGAGGGAUGCAGAAUUCCAGGUGUAGCGGUGAAAUGCGUAGAUAUCUGGAGGAAUACCGGUGGCGAAGGCGGCAUCCUGGACCGACAUUGACGCUGAACGGCGAAAGCUAGGGGAGCAAACGGG